rnacentral:tRNA from 1 species
GGUGUGGCUCAGUGACAGAGCACCUGCCUAGGAAGCACAAGGACCUGGGUGCAAUACCCAGUCACAUCA